GACGAACCGUGCGAACGUUAUUCGGAAUCAUUGGGCUUAAAGAGCACGUAGGCGGCGGCGUAAGUGGGGGGUGAAAGGCUAUCGGCUCAACCGUGGCAUUGCCUUCCAAACUGCGUCGCUCGAGGAAGGUAGGGGCAGGUGGAAUUUCCAGUGGAGCGGUGAAAUGUGUUGAGAUUGGAAGGAACGCCAGUGGCGAAAGCGACCUGCUGGAUCUUUACUGACGCUGAGGUGCGAAAGCUAGGGGAGCAAACGGG
rnacentral:rRNA from 1 species